rnacentral:rRNA from 1 species
GACAGAGGUGCCGAGCGUUAGGCGGAAUCACUGGGCUUAAAGCGUGUGUAGGCGGACUUCUAAGUGCCUUGUGAAAUCCCACGGCUCAACCGUGGAACUGCUGGGCAUACUGGGAGUCUUGGGCCAUUCAGGGGCAACUGGAACAAGCGGUGGAGCGGUGAAAUGCGUAGAUAUCGCUUGGAACGCCGAAGGUGAAAACAGGUUGCUGGGGAUGUGCCGACGCUGAGACACGAAAGCCAGGGGAGCAAACGGG